AUGGCGCCUAGGAGCGGCUAUACAGGAGAUGGAGGAAGCUCAAUCACGUCCAUGGAUCUAAGCCAUGGCAGUGUUGAAUCAAGUGAAUCUCUUCAGGAAGAGAUUCUUGAUCCGGAGUUCUUCGGUGUAGAUACUUCCUCUCCACACAGAUGCCAUCACAAAAUGCAUCCAGCAAGAAAAGUGGCUUACAUCUACGUGGCCACAGGCAUGAUGUUUCUUGGAUGCCCUCUCUCGGGAGUUGAUAGGUGCCCCUGGUUUUUGUGGAUUGAUGAAGCAUGGAGUCCUGUACUUAGCCGUUCAUUAAUACAACUCUGGGAUCAGGCUUGUCUGGACUCUGAAAGAGCAGCAAUGUUGGAGACUAAGAAAAAGGAAAUGGAGCAGUCAUACUUAGAGUUGUGGACUGAGAGAAGCAAUAUUGAGAUUGAACACGAGCAGGUGGUCAACAAGUUGAAGAACACAAUACUGAACACGGAGAUUAAGAUGUCAAGGAGGUUAGCUGAAGACCACUGCCAACAUAUUUUGUACUGUUUACACUUUUGA
rnacentral:rRNA from 1 species